UACGGAAGGCAGCAGUGGGGAAGUAUUGCACAAUGGGCGCAAGCCUGAUGCAGCCAUGCCGCGUGUAUGAAGAAGGCCUUCGGGUUGUAAAGUACUUUCAGUCGUGAGGAAGGUGUUAAGGUUAAUAACCUUAGCAAUUGACGUUAGCGACAGAAGAAGCACCGGCUAACUCCGUGCCAGCAGCCGCGGUAAUACGGAGGGUGCGAGCGUUAAUCGGAAUUACUGGGCGUAAAGGGCACGCAGGCGGUUAAUUAAGUUGGAUGUGAAAUCCCCGGGCUUAACCUGGGAAUGGCAUUCAAGACUGGUUAGCUAGAGUCUUGUAGAGGGGGUAGAAUUCCAUGUGUAGCGGUGAAAUGCGUAGAGAUGUGGAGGAAUACCGGUGGCGAAGGCGGCCCCCUGGACAAAGACUGACGCUCAUGUGCGAAAGCGUGGGGAGCAAACAGGGAUUAGAUACC
rnacentral:rRNA from 1 species